UCUGCCUCUCCGCCCACACUCUCCCCAUCACUCUGGGGGCCUCUGGCUCCGGCUCUUCCUUCUUCCUCCGGAUCUAUUCUGCUUCAAGUUCAUUACUCCGUGAGAUCUGCCAGGAUUGUCUUAUUCCCUCCUGCCUGCCUCCCACCCCACCACCAUCACCUGAGUUUGCUCAUAUCACUCUUAUUUUUCCCCAAGCUCUUGCUACCCCCAUCAUGUUGCCUGUUUUCUCUGCUAAAACUCUGAGCCCCCAGUGAUGGGGAGUCGUGUCUAUUUUGUUGACUAAUAAAGCCCAAGAGCCUUGGGAAUGGGUAUAGUUACUAGAUUCCCAUAAGUAGUAGGAGCUUAUACAGAUUUGCUGAAUGAAUGCAGAGGUCCUGGUCCAAUUCGAUGGAGCACUUCUGUGUCCUGCUCAAAGAUUAACUCUCCUUUCCUCCUGAGAGGGGGUGACCACUUCCUUGGUGAUCAAAGGCAAGAUCUAUUUUCUUUAUGCUGUUAACCUUAGGCGGGGAGACUGGGGGAUCUUCAUUUAUAUUUUAAAAUUUGAUUCACUCUGCAGUUUGUCUCCUGUCUAUGUAUCCUUUUGAGAAACCGUUUAUGAGUGAUCAUUCUUCCAUCAGAUUGAACAGGAUCCAGGGGGAAGUACCAAGCCUGUCCCAUCGGCCAUCCUGUGUGUCAUGUCCUGUGACCCAGUGGAUGCUCAGCAUCCUCCAGCUGAAGAAACAGAUUGCCUUAGGUACAUGAAAGGUGAGGACACCUACUAUCCCCAUGGAGCCCAGUUGGGCCUGGGAGUCUGCUGUUUGUACAGCCGGUGGGCUCGUGUUGCUUUGGGCAUCCCUGUGCCUGAAUUCCUGCAGUACACUCGGUGUGCAUUCCAUGGUGCAUCCUCACCUAGAAUUGAGUGGAAGCAAGUCCAUUUCAGAAGGGACAUAACUGAAGAGGAAUGGCUUUCCAGACUCUGAAGGGCAAAGAAA